UAUAUCUGGAUUUUCAUAGUUAAUAGUGGACAUAUUUCGUAUUGGAGUCCCUUAAUCCGUGCAAUUUGUUCGAGGAUCUAGCUCGGGAAGGAGUUGAACGAUCUGUUAUAAGAGAAAAAGAGUAUUUUUUCUUCUUCUAGAGAGCCAAAAGUGAUAAAAACUUACUCUUCUUUGCUUCUCUCUCUGCAUUCCUUCCUUCCUUUUUGUACGUGUUGUGUGUUGACUAUUGUGUGUGUUAAAGAGGAAGAAGAGAAAGAGAACGAUCAAUUUAUUCAGACUGAUUUUACUUUUUAGUGAAUGUUGAAAAGAGGGUUGAGUCAUGACAUUUGAGGAAAGCUUCUUCCAUUUAGAUGCAUUUUAAUCCGUCGUGCCGGGCUUUUACUACUUCCAUAAAUCCUCUUGUUAUAACUUGGAAGAGCAGGAAGGAGAAACUUCUCCUUCAUUUGUGUGUGUGUGUGUGCUGUUGUGUAGCCAAAAUGUGUGUUUUUCCUCAAAGAUACCUUUUCUCAUGUUCGUUUCCUCCUUAGAAGAACAAUGACAAUGCCCUUAAGUUACUACUAAUUAUUAUAUGAACUACGUUCACAAAAAAUCAAAAACAUAAAAAAAUUCGAUCCAUUAUUAUAAUAUGGACCUUCUUAUUCAAUUUUCAUUAAUAACAAUAGAUGCUCAGGAAUUUAAGCUAUAGUCUAGAGCCUUCAUUUGAUCUAUGGGACUUAAUUUCGCCUUUUAUAUAUGUAUAUAUUUAUUUCAGCAUUCAUCGUAAUUUACAAACACUACCAUGGAUUUUCCAGAAUCAUUCAUCAAUAUAAAUGAAAGAUAAUUAUUAUCCAGACUCUUUUUUUUAUUAUUGGAGAAAGUCAUGCGUGGUUCCUUAUGUGUCGCUGGACCACAUUUUAUAUGAUAUUUCCUCUUCAAGAAAGGCUUAUUUACUCUUUUGUAUUCUAUUAAGAAUAACAUACCAAUAGUUGGAACAACCCAAAAAGAAUUAUUUUAAUACGUUAAAUUUAACAUACAAAAUUUAAUAAGGUUUUCUGAUUAGACAACAGAGUAUCUAUUCAACCUAUCCAUGCUUCAGGAGUUUCAAAAACAACUCUAUUUAACGAUCCGUGCUAUUUAAUCUUGACAAUCUGCUGAUAUGUUGUGUACUUAUUCAAGAUCUUAUUAAAUACCUGCUCUUUAUUCGUACAUAUAUUAUGGUCUCAAAUGUGCCUAAUAUAUCCAUUCCAUAAUGUUGUUUGCAAGCUGGAAUACAAAAAAAGAGAUGAAAAAUUUACAAUACUUGUGAUGAAGAUAUUAAGAAACUGCAUAUUCCAUGGAUGAUCGAUUUAAUUUUUGACAAUUUUAUAUAUAAAUUGCUAAUUGUUACGUAUUUUGUGGCACAUUAUAAAUUGCAAAAGAUGACCAUCGUUAUAUUACUCGCAAAUACAUAAUAACCAAGUCAUUUUAAUAGAUCAAAAAGAAAUGAUCCCAUCAAUGAUUAGAGUUGGUAAUUGAAAGGACUGAUGUUGAAAUUACAUAAGGCGUUAUAAGACUUGUAACUUGUACAGCCAAUCUAUAUGGAUUGCAACCUCCACACAGCAUAAAUCGUUGUCAAUUGUGAUUCCACUCAAAUAAUUUGAGGUUGUACGUAAAUGUAUUUACAAAUUUGUCAAAUAUUAUAUUUAAAAAUAUGUUCAAUAAUUUUAAAUGUUAUUAAAAACAUCUUAUAUAUGUAUAUAUUUGAAUCACUCCCGAGAAUCAUUAUACUUCUUCAUAUCUCCAAUCAUUAUAGUGUUUCUGAUUAAGAAAUUGUUUUAGUUGCAUGCUUAUAAUUUUGAGUGAGCUCUGUUUAUUGUCAUAUAUCAUAUUAAUAUAUGUAUUUAUCUCAAGAAUUCAUUAAGUCUUAGGCAUGUAGCCUUUGAUUGUUCAUUUAGAGUGGAGUUUUCAUGGGAAGAAAUAUUUAAUAGGCAACUCUAUAAUAUAUUUUUUACUUUGACAUGUUUCUUAUUAAAACACAUUUAAUUAAUCUAAUAAAAGAUAUAGGGUUUUCUUAUCUGUUUAUAAAUUAGUCAAACGUAUAAUUUUUAACUCUUCUUCAACAAACGUUUACUUUACUUAAAAAAAUUAAUGUCCAACCUCUUCAUCACUAUGGAGUCCCAAGGUGUGUUAAUACCCUUGUGCUUUACGAAGCCCCGGAAUAAUUCCCUUAGUAGGAGAAACCUUUAAGAUUCAACGGUUUUAUUUACUUAUAACUUUAUUUUUCAAUUAAAAUGGAGGAUUCAUUUAAAUUA
rnacentral:lncRNA from 1 species